CAAACAGUACGUGAAACCGUCAGGAGGGAAACGAACGAGGUUAGUGCAGUGAUCACGCAGGUUCAAGCUCUGCCAAAGGUGCCGACAUGGUGRCAGAGAUUGUCCCAUGAYGUCUCCCCAAGGCAGUGCCGUACUCCUCGUGAGCACGGACCAGCGGCGGUUGGACUGGAGCCACAAGGCAGCAGCGGAAGGUGAGUUGAUGUGAGCCUGUUUCACAUUGACAGCUUAUAGCCCUGCCGUACGGCACUCCGGUCUGACUGAGGAAGCUGGGCAGCCCUUGCCCAUUGUGGUGCACGCCGAAUGGCGGGGCCUCCCGACACGAAUGAACCGUGCAGUGUGGACUGCAUGCAGUGCUAACUGUGGCGGUGAUUUUGUGCCGGAGAGUGCCACUUGUGUACCAGUGCUGCUGGUAUUCAGAUGGCCUYGUCCGA
rnacentral:sRNA from 1 species